CAAAGAGGCAACGUAUGUGGCUUUAUUAACAGGUAUGGACAGUCAUUAGGGGUUUAUUCACUAAACUCUGAAUCACAGUGAAAAGAAAAAAUAGAUUAUAAAAACUGAGGAUAAGAUAGCCAAGCUGUCACUAUAUCUGCGUUUUAGCUAUUUUUGCCUAAAAUUUGCAAUUUGAUUUUUAGUUUACAACAAUCUGCAUUUGAGAAUAAACCAAACUUUAUAUGUGUUAUUUUAAUUAUUCUGCUAGGUACCCAAUGCACUAAACACGUGAUUAAAAUGCACCUGCUUAUUAUUAUUACUAGUGCUGAUUUUGUUAUUUAAGUCAUUGUUUAUUUUCUAGCCCGUGGCAAACUGACAGUGUAUUUCUAUUGUGCCAAGAUAACAAACCUGGAAAAAUACAGCUCCCAGGUUUAGUUUGGCUUGCACAGUUUAAUGUAAAAAAUACAAUUUAUUUUCAUUAGGAGCAUACAUACAUGUAUUAGAACAAAAUGCAUGUUUUUAUAACAAUAUGAGCAUAUUUAUGAUUGCAAUAUUUCGAUCAAUUCCCAGUGUACUUAUAAGUACAUGAUAAUUAAAGAAGCCACUGGGCAAAAAUUAAGUAUUAAGCAUUUAGAAGAGCUGAAGUCAUACUAAACAUGUAGCAAAGUGAUCACUCGAAGGCCGUGGGUUGCCAGCUACUGGUAUAAUUUAGAACUGAAGGCUGUAACCUUUCAGCAUUCAUCUUAUACUUAUUCAUACCAGGCAAGCAUGUGUGAGAAUCACUCUGGGCUCUACUCAUAAGGUCUGCCUCACAGCUUCUAUCAGAUCGAUCCCUGCAUGCUUCCAAACACAGGCUGUUCCACUUCUCACUAAGUAAACAGUUGGAGCAUUGGUCUUAACCUUUAUAUUAAUAUUAAGAGCCUAAAUUAAUUGCAUAGCAUUCUUCAAUAGUAAGAUCAGUUUAAAGAUCCAUCCUGAAAUUGUCAUGUAAUACAAUAAAUCCUAGAAAUAGCCCUUGCAAUAGACAUACCCAUUGUUAAAGGGAUCUCCAGAACACUAGAAAAGCAGUGAUGUUGUAAUAGAACACUUAUUGUGUUUUGCCUGGAUGGGUAUGAUGUCCUUGUUCAAACUAAUGGGCACUCACUAAAAAAGCAUUGGGACCCAAAUUCAUCUCCCGGUCCAGGGGUUAAGAACCACAGAAUAGGGCGAGCUCAAGCU